rnacentral:rRNA from 1 species
UACGUAGGUGGCAAGCGUUGUCCGGAUUUACUGGGCGUAAAGGAUGCGUAGGCGGACAUUUAAGUCAGAUGUGAAAUACCCGAGCUUAACUUGGGUGCUGCAUUUGAAACUGGGUGUCUAGAGUGCAGGAGAGGUAAGUGGAAUUCCUAGUGUAGCGGUGGAAUGCGUAGAGAUCCGGAAGAACACCGGUGGCGAAGGCGGCCUGCUGGGCUAUGGCUGACACUGAGGCGCGACAGCGUGGGGAGCAAACAGG